rnacentral:rRNA from 1 species
GACGAACGCUGGCGGCGUACUUAACACAUGCAAGUCGAACGGAAAGGCCCUGCUUUUGUGGGGUGCUCGAGUGGCGAACGGGUGAGUAACACGUGAGUAACCUGCCCUUGACUUUGGGAUAACUUCAGGAAACUGGGGCUAAUACCGGAUAGGAGCUCCUGCUGCAUGGUGGGGGUUGGAAAGUUUCGGCGGUUGGGGAUGGACUCGCGGCUUAUCAGCUUGUUGGUGGGGUAGUGGCUUACCAAGGCUUUGACGGGUAGCCGGCCUGAGAGGGUGACCGGCCACAUUGGGACUGAGAUACGGCCCAGACUCCUACGGGAGGCAGCAGUGGGGAAUAUUGCACAAUGGGCGGAAGCCUGAUGCAGCAGCGCCGCGUGCGGGAUGACGGCCUUCGGGUUGUAAACCGCUUUCGCCUGUGACGAAGCGUGAGUGACGGUAAUGGGUAAAGAAGCACCGGCUAACUACGUG